AUCGGCAUUGCUGAUGAGCGCUGGAAAACGUCUGCCGCUCGCAAAUGUCGAAAUUGCUUUCCGCUUUUGACCACGGAUGUACUGGCACUGGUGUGAAUGGCGAUGUGAGGAAGGUCGGUGCGGUUCGCCCCGGCCUUUUUUUACG
rnacentral:sRNA from 1 species